UGCUUGCUUCAGCAGCAAUAGACUAAAAUUGGAAUUAUACAAAAAAGAUAAGUAUGGCCCCUGCGCUAGGUGACAUGCAAAUUUGUGAAAACACUCGAUAUUAA
rnacentral:snRNA from 1 species